rfam:Methylophaga sp. 41_12_T18 BD02T18_scaffold_82, whole genome shotgun sequence.
AGAGAUGGCCAGGCAAUCGCGCUUUGAUUUUUUAAUUACGGUGAGGAAAGUCCGGGCUCCAUAGGGCAGGGUGCCAGGUAACUCCUGGGAGGCUAAAGCCUACGGCCAGUGCAACAGAAAGUAUACCGCCUAAUUCUUUUCGAAGAGUUAGGUAAGGGUGAAAGGGUGCGGUAAGAGCGCACCGCGCAAUUGGCAACAAUUGUGGCAUGGUAAACCCCACUCGGAGCAAGACCAAAUAGAGGAACCGUUCGUUUCGACGAGAAUAUGCUGCCCGCAUUGUUCCUGGGUAGGUUGCUUGAGGCAAGUAGCGAUGCUUGUCCCAGAUGAAUGAUUGUCCACGACAGAACCCGGCUUAUCGGCCAUCUCUUUUU